GAAAAGAAAUUGAAGACAGAAACCCCUAAAACAAGUACACCUGUUUGUACACCAUCCAAAGUGGUACAUGUAGCAGCUAUUGACGAAGAUCUACCCAUGCUUCAUUCUCCUUCAAAGAAAGAGAAGAGAACAUCCAGCCCUGGACAAUCAUCAAUUGAGAAAGACUGUGAAGAGCUGCCAGAUAUUCCUUUACCUAUGACAUUAAAGG